rnacentral:rRNA from 1 species
GAACGCUGGCGGCAAGCCUUACACAUGCAAGUCGAGCGGUAGCAUUUCUAGCUUGCUAGAAGAUGACGAGCGGCGGACGGGUGAGUAAAGCAUAGGAAUCUGGCCAAUAGAGGGGGAUAGCCCGGAGAAAUCCGGAUUAAUACCGCAUACACUCUAUGGAGAAAAAGCAGGGGAUCUUCGGACCUUGCACUAUUGGAUGAGCCUAUGUCGGAUUAGUUAGUUGGUGGGGUAAAGGCCUACCAAGGCAGCGAUCCGUAGCUGGUCUUAGAGGAUGAUCAGCCACAUCGGGACUGAGACACGGCCCGAACUCCUACGGGAGGCAGCAGUGGGGAAUAUUGCACAAUGGGCGCAAGCCUGAUGCAGCCAUGCCGCGUGUGUGAAGAAGGCUUUCGGGUUGUAAAGCACUUUCAGUGGGGAGGAAGGCCUCGUAGUUAAUAGCUGCGAGGAUUGACGUUACCCACAGAAGAAGCACCGGCUAACUCCGUG